rnacentral:rRNA from 1 species
AGAGUUUGAUCAUGGCUCAGGACGAACGCUGGCGGCGUGCUAAUACAUGCAAGUAGAACGCUGAAGAAAGGAGCUUGCUUCUUUUGGAUGAGUUGCGAACGGGUGAGUAACGCGUAGGUAACCUGCCUUGUAGCGGGGGAUAACUAUUGGAAACGAUAGCUAAUACCGCAUAACAGCUUUUGACACAUGUUAGAAGCUUGAAAGAUGCAAUUGCAUCACUACGAGAUGGACCUGCGUUGUAUUAGCUAGUAGGUAGGGUAACGGCCUACCUAGGCGACGAUACAUAGCCGACCUGAGAGGGUGAUCGGCCACACUGGGACUGAGACACGGCCCAGACUCCUACGGGAGGCAGCAGUAGGGAAUCUUCGGCAAUGGGGGCAACCUGACCGAGCAACGCCGCGUGAGUGAAGAAGGUUUUCGGAUCGUAAAGCUCUGUUGUAAGAGAAGAACGUGUGUGAGAGUGGAAAGUUCACACAGUGACGGUAACUUACCAGAAAGGGACGGCUAACUACGUGCCAGCAGCCGCGGUAAUACGUAGGUCCCGAGCGUUGUCCGGAUUUAUUGGGCGUAAAGCGAGCGCAGGCGGUUUAAUAAGUCUGAAGUUAAAGGCAGUGGCUUAACCAUUGUUCGCUUUGGAAACUGUUAAACUUGAGUGCAGAAGGGGAGAGUGGAAUUCCAUGUGUAGCGGUGAAAUGCGUAGAUAUAUGGAGGAACACCGGUGGCGAAAGCGGCUCUCUGGUCUGUAACUGACGCUGAGGCUCGAAAGCGUGGGGAGCAAACAGGAUUAGAUACCCUGGUAGUCCACGCCGUAAACGAUGAGUGCUAGGUGUUAGGCCCUUUCCGGGGCUUAGUGCCGCAGCUAACGCAUUAAGCACUCCGCCUGGGGAGUACGACCGCAAGGUUGAAACUCAAAGGAAUUGACGG